UGUUAAAGGUCCGACGGGGACGUAAACAUCGCCAGGGUGGCCAGUUUUGCUAAGCGAUUUAACAAAAGCAGGUGUUGUGCACACUGAUUACCUCGCAGCGUUUUAUCUAAUCGGUGGAUAUUCAUUUACUCUCGAUGUCGUGAGAGUCCUGAGUUUAGAGAGACAUAGCUAGUGUUGUCCUAGCCGAGUGGCUAGUUCAGCUAACAUCCGCUUUACCAGCUCGCAGCACAGAUGCAGGUGGAGGAGGUUUGUUGUCUUUUAUCUUUGCUGAAGUCAAGGUGAAAUCAUAAGUUAUAUUAAACUUAGGUUUGGUUGGAUAAUCUCGCUAGGUCGCUGUGUUAGCUAGGUUCCUAGCUAAGUUGGCUGACAUCUUCCCGAGGACUAUCACGCUAAACCCGGUCAUGUCUACCUCGAGUUUUAAGAAUAAAUGUGUCAGUCAGGUGAACUGCGUUUACUGCGACAGCCUUCUGUGUACGAGGGGUAUGAAGGCCGUGCUUCUGGCUGACACCGAAAUCGAGCUGUUUUCUACCGACCUCCCCCCCAACAGAACUGUGGACUUUGUUGCAGGCUGCUAUUCUACAGAAAGUUGUAAAUGCAAGUUAAGAGACAUUGCCUGCCUGAAAUGUGGAAACAUUGUGGGGUAUCAUGUGGUGGCACCGUGCAAGCCCUGCCUCCUCUCCUGUAACAAUGGGCACUUUUGGAUGUUCAACAGUGAAGCUGUGUCCACUGUCAACAGACUAGAUGCAUCAGGACUUAAUCUGCUGCUCUGGGGAGAUCUCCCAGAGCUGGAGGGCAGCGAGGACGAGAGCCCAGACAGCCUUUCAGAGGAGGAGUACCUCAGAUAGAUCGAGCAGAACUAGAGGCACUGUCUAAUGAACCACUAAUUAUUUGUUGCCUAGCUCCCAAGAAUCUUCGUUUCAAGCACACUUAGUGAAGCCUUGAACUGGCUCCCGCACACAUUAUGGAUCGCUCUCUUCGGUGAGCAGCCGCUCGCUUUUAAAAUGUGUUGGUCGUAUUGCUUCCUUGCAGGUUUACUGUCACAAUCUAUGUAUGUAGAUUUUGGACAGGUUGCUUAAAACAAUAAUUGCUCCUCAGAACAGCCAAUCAAGGUAGUAUGAUGUUCAGUUAAAGGGUUGUUUCCAAAUCAUAGGCAUUUCUAAUUUAGUUUUCUAAGGACACCGGCUCAGAAGUGAGAACUGACAAAGUGCAGCAAACGUUCUUGGUUUCUGUCUCUCAUCACAUGUACCUUCCACUUUAACUGUAUGUCAGUACAUUUAAUUUUUUUUUUCGUCUACUGAAAUGAGGACGAUCAUUAGACUGGCAAAAGGAGAAGAAGGAAGGGGGUCAAAUAACUUUGGUACACCACAGCACAUGAUGUGAAAAUGCAGCUAAUGUACGUUCAGAGAGUGUGAGCCAAGGCCCAGUCCUGUCAUCCCCAACGUGGAAAAACUGGUCUGUUACUUUCGCAAGACCACGUUGUUUUGUGUAACCGUUUGCUAGCAGUUGCGCUUCUUCGAUGUUAACCAUUUCACUGUAUGAUGGACACAGAACUCUCUGAAACAAUAUUCAGAUUUUUCAAGAAUGUUUUCAUUUUCUUGUAAUUAGUAUAAGGGAGAAAACAAAUUCAGAGAAUUCAGAUGUAUUGGCGUCUCGAGCGGUAAUAAAGUUCCCGGCAUGAGCAGUUGUCAUUAUGAAGAUAUGACCAAAAUGAAAUGUUAGAAAUGAGAUCUUAUAUUUUAAUUUAUUAAUAAAAAUCAGUCUAUUUGUUGUAAUUUAUCAACAUUUCGAUUGUAUGUAUUUAACAAACAUGUAUUUAUACUUAUGGAUAGCUUGCACCAUCCGAAAACUGAAAAAAGUUUGUAAUUCUUUACAUUUGCACUGAAAAUGUCUCCGUUUGAACUUUGGCUUGUUUUGUAUACUCGCGGUCUGGACAUUAAACCUUUUCUUUUUUAAUUGA